UACGGAGGGUGCAAGCGUUAAUCGGAAUUACUGGGCGUAAAGCGCGCGUAGGCGGCUGGAUAAGUCGAUUGUGAAAGCCUUGGGCUCAACCUGAGAAUUGCAGUCGAGACUGUUCGGCUAGAGUGUGGGAGAGGGUGGUGGAAUUCCCGGUGUAGCGGUGAAAUUCGUAGAUAUCGGGAGGAACACCAGUGGCGAAGGCGGAGACCUGGGCCGAUACUGACGCUGAGGUGCGAAAGCGUGGGGAGCAAACAGG
rnacentral:rRNA from 1 species